UACGUAGGGUGCGAGCGUUAAUCGGAAUUACUGGGCGUAAAGCGUGCGCAGGCGGUUCGUUAAGUCAGAUGUGAAAGCCCCGGGCUCAACCUGGGAACUGCACUUGAAACUGGCGGGCUUGAGUGUGGCAGAGGGGGGUGGAAUUCCGCGUGUAGCAGUGAAAUGCGUAGAGAUGCGGAGGAACACCGAUGGCGAAGGCAGCCCCCUGGGCCAACACUGACGCUCAGGCACGAAAGCGUGGGGAGCAAACAGG
rnacentral:rRNA from 1 species